GGGUUAGUAGGUUCGUCAUGCCUCCGGUAUGCACUGGUCUCACUGAUUCCUCCUUCCUGAUGAGCCGUAAUGCCAUUAAUUUGGUGUUGCGGGGAAUCUGGACUGUUACUUUGAAAAAAUUAGAGUGUUCAAAGCAGGCCUAUGCCCGAAUACAUUAGCAUGGAAUAAUAAAAUAGGACGUGCGGUUCUAUUUUGUUGGUUUCUAGAGUCGCCGUA
rnacentral:rRNA from 1 species